rnacentral:tRNA from 1 species
GCCCGGUUAGUUCAGUUGGUAGAGCAUCAGACUUUUAAUCUGAGGGCCUUGGGUUCGAGUCCCAUAUCGGGCU